AGAGUUGAUCCUGGCUUAGGACGAACGCUGGCGGCGUGCCUAACACAUGCAAGUCGAACGGAGAUACUCUGAAUGAAGAUUUCGGUUGGAUUCUAAGUAUCUUAGUGGCGGACGGGUGAGUAACGCGUGAGUAACCUGCCGAUGAGAGUGGAAUAACGUUCUGAAAAGAACGCUAAUACCGCAUAACAUAUCGAAACCGCAUGGUUUUGAUAUCAAAGAUUUUAUCGCUCAUCGAUGGACUCGCGUCCGAUUAGCCAGUUGGCGGGGUAACGGCCCACCAAAGCAACGAUCGGUAGCCGGACUGAGAGGUUGAACGGCCACAUUGGGACUGAGACACGGCCCAGACUCCUACGGGAGGCAGCAGUGGGGGAUAUUGCGCAAUGGGGGCAAACCCCUGACGCAGCAACGCCGCGUGAAGGAUGACGGUCUUCGGAUUGUAAACUUCUUUUGUUAAGGACGAAGAAAGUGACGGUACUUAACGAAUAAGCUCCGGCUAACUACGUGCCAGCAGCCGC
rnacentral:rRNA from 1 species